AUGAUCCUAUGUCUGAACUUGGUGUCCUUCCUAGCAGUCCUCAGAGGUGCACAGUCAGAGGCCCAGCUGGUGGAGUCCGGAGGGGAUGUGAGAAGGCCUGGAGAGUCCCUCCGUCUCUCCUGCCAAGCCUCUGGAUUUGACUUCAGCAGCUAUUGGAUGAGCUGGGUGAGACAGGCCCCUGGAAAAGGGCUGGAAUGGGUGGCUGUCAUAAGCUACAAUUCAGGUACCAUUUACUACUCGGACAAAGUGAAGGGACGCUUCACCAUUUCCAGGGACAACUCCAAAAGCCAACUCUAUCUGCAAAUGAACAGCCUGAAGCCGGAGGAUACGGCAGUCUAUUACUGUGUGAGAGACAGUGACAGGAAGUGA